rnacentral:rRNA from 1 species
CGGGCGGCGUGCUUAUACAUGCAGUCGAGCGGACAGAAGGGAGCUUGCUCCCGGAUGUUAGCGGCGGACGGGUGAGUAACACGUGGGUAACCUGCCUGUAAGACUGGGAUAACUCCGGGAAACCGGAGCUAAUACCGGAUAGUUCCUUGAACCGCAUGGUUCAAGGAUGAAAGACGGUUUCGGCUGUCACUUACAGAUGGACCCGCGGCGCAUUAGCUAGUUGGUGAGGUAACGGCUCACCAAGGCGACGAUGCGUAGCCGACCUGAGAGGGUGAUCGGCCACACUGGGACUGAGACACGGCCCAGACUCCUACGGGAGGCAGCAGUAGGGAAUCUUCCGCAAUGGACGAAAGUCUGACGGAGCAACGCCGCGUGAGUGAUGAAGGUUUUCGGAUCGUAAAGCUCUGUUGUUAGGGAAGAACAAGUGCAAGAGUAACUGCUUGCACCUUGACGGUACCUAACCAGAAAGCCACGGCUAACUACGUGCGGCCCCCCGGGUAAA